GGGGCCCUGCAGGCAGUCUGGGCCCUUACGUGCCCUCUCUUUACACACACGCAGAUGUACACACACACACACACACACACAUACACACACUCCGGCACACAGAGGAGUUGAUGUGUAAGACACGCUCUGAUCCCGCAUGCUGAUGAUGAAAGACAGGCAGCCGGGCUCCUGUCUUAGUGCCAGAGGGCAAGACCUGAUAGAAACCCACUGAUUCUUGAUCCUCCUCCUCCGUCUUCAUCACUGUUGGAAUAAUUUGAAUUUCACCACAGUUUUAUUUUGCUGCUUAUUUUCCUCUCUCAUUUUAAACAGCAGCUUCUGCUGCUCCUCUGGUUUUUGUUUAGCUUUAUUUUGGUAGACACUGGCAAUCAGCAGGUCAAAAGUUGAGGUCUAAAGUUGAAGAGUUGUGCAGUUCUCAUUGACACAAACAGUAGAAAAAAAAAGAAGUGUUGUUUUCUUGUAUGAAAAACUACUUUUGUCUGAUUAACAUUUCCUGCAGAAGUGUGGUUGUUGUAUUAAUCCUUGGCUCGGUGUGCCAGAAUGCAUUUCUUCUUGUUUUUACGUGCAUAGCCCCCAGCCUCACACCUGGCCUGGCAGGAGAUACACUCUCACCCCUCCUCCUCCUCCUCCUCUGACUCUUCUCCUGCUUCUUCCAUCAAAACCGGCAACCUCCAGCUCCACCCAUAACAGGGAGGGACCGUGCAAGACCCCUUCUGGGUUCUUCAAUCACAUAAACAGCACUCUCAGGUUUGAAUGAAACCUGUUGCCCACAUUCCAGUGCACUUAAGGGAAAGGAUGUACCGUGUGUGUGUGUUUGGGGCAGAUGGCCUGGGUGAUGAAGGCAUAAAUUAGCCUGUGCGAGGAAGGGAGAUCCCCCAUUGUUCUGAUGGAUUGCACACACACACAGACACACACAUGCCUACACGUUCACGCAAGCCCGCCUGAGUCUAGCUCAAGCUGGAAGAUCACACACACUCUCUGUCACAGCCUCUCAGAUCAAGCUGCCCAGAGCUUCCUGUAAUCCCUCCUCUGUAACAUUAAUUAUAAACUGGUGCUUUGUGCCCCGCGGACCAACCGUGACUUUCCCAGGACAAUUAAAGUUACUCAGGAGUAGAAGGGGGAUUGGGUGGAAAAAGGAGGGAAAGGGGAUCAGAGAGUGAGUCAGAAGGAUUUGACUACAACUGCGUAUAAGAGCGCUGAAAUCAGGCGACGGGUGAGAUGAGAGUGGGGAGUUUGGGCCUGGCCAUACAGGAUGUUGAACUUCAGUUGGCGUAGGGAUAAGUCGCAGGCACUGGAGCUUUUUAUAUUGUUCUGUAAGUGAGGCUUUUAGCAUAAGCUUUGGUCCCAGAGUCGAGGGUUGAACGGGGUCUGGGUGGGCAGAAGCCCGGCCAGGGCGGAUGUGGAUUAGGGGGCGUCUCAUGGGAGUAGCUGGCUUGUGCGUGGGAAAUGUGACCUGGUUUCACUUCUUCGUGAACAUAAACGAAAUGUAUAAAGUUUCCAAACACUUUUCGCCAUCACUUCCCAUCUGACUGAUUCUCUUGGCCCCUGUGACUUGGAGUGACUUCUCUUGCUACCGUGCUAAAUCAUUGCACGGUACAGCACUCUCCCUGGGGUAUGCAUUGAUUGCUUGAAUAUCUGUCCCACUAGCUGCUGACCUUUAACAGGCCCUCAAAUCUCUAAAUCCUGUUUGAGUGGCUUUUUAACAUCCUACCAAGCAUGACUCACUCUGUAGAGGGCACCUGUGUGACGCCUGUGUUGGCCUACAACAAGUGUAAAAAAAAAAAAAAAAAUCAUUCAAAUGCUGCCCAAAAAAGAAAAAGCUGUUUUCAGAUUGUGGCUGACCAAGCAGUGUCCCUGCCCUGCCCUUUGCCUUCUAGCUUCAAGACAACUUUGCUUCUGCAGCCCACUGUGCCAAAGGCAAUCCCUUUCAUGUUGCUCCUGAUCUGUUUGCAACAUUUGAUUUCUAGAUAACAAGAGGAAAGAUUGUUAUCUGGCCGGCCACUGAAGUGGUUCAUUUGACAGAUGUUGUUAUCCCAAAUGGAUCUGAUAGGCUGUUGUUUAAUCCCGUUAAGGCACCUUGCUCGAGGACAUGAGCCCAACUUCCUCAGUGACGCCCUUUCUCUGAACCCUUGACCCCUCACUGUGGCCAGUGAUCGAAUACUCCCACAUGUUUAAUUUAUAUACGCAAAUAUUUUGCAACUAUGAAUCAGGCUUUCCUGUGGUGUCAGAUAAGUUAUGAGCAAUUUUUGCUUCUCCCAAUCUGCUCAGAAGAUGGCCAUGGCCACACAGAUGUAAAAUUGUACAUUUUUUUUAGUGUGAGUAAGGCUUUCCCCAUAGUUUUACAGAUCUGACUGAUUUACCCCAGAGUCUUAGUACCAGAAAUGCUCAGUAUAUCAAUUUAAAAGUUAAUGAGGGAGAAAUUUGCCUGACUAAUGACUUUUUUUAGCUCUUUUUUAAUAUCUAAAAAAAAUCAUGAUGUGGUAAGGAUAAAGCGUGGUCUACCACACAAUAGAGUCAGAGGACAAAGCAGGAGGUUGAAGGUAGACCGAGAGUACCGACACCCCCCUGCAAUCCACGCUAAGUGCGCUAAAGGCAGAAAAGCUGCAUAACAACAAAUGGGAAUAUCUUCUUUCUUGGUGAAAGAGAGCAAGGGCAGGUAUUGCCUCUGUCCACGGAAAUAUUUUGGACUUGUAAACAAGGCCUUGGCAUAAUAUUACCGCUUUCUUGGCUGCUUUUGUUUACAUACCCUAGAUACUAGAGAGAAAGAGAGAGAGAGAGAGGGUUUUUUUUUUUCUAUUUUUCUCCUUACAUGAAGAGAAAAGCUCGUGGUUAUAGUUGUUCUUGAGUGUGUUGUCUUUUUUUCUUAUCUCUUGACCCCUCAGGAAUAAAGCAGUCAAUCUCUCCAGUAAGAGCUAAGUGUUCAUGUUCACCUUAGAGGACUCUGUACUGUUUUAAAUAUAAUGAUAAAGAAGGAGCUUGAAACAAAAAUUUUGUCAUCUCAAAUGUCACUGAAUAUAAGAGAAAGUUCAGUCAGGUCAUACAGCAGUCUGUAUUCUAGGGCUAGGACCUGCCAGGUAUGACACAACUAUAAGUUACAAAACAAUACUAUCGAUUUUCUCUGUCAUGUUUACAGAUUAGUUGGAUUAAAACUAACCUCAGCGUUCUGCACAUGCUCCUGUGUGUUAAAUAGCACAAAUGCAUAGCUAGAAAGCCUGGUCGUAAACAAAACCUUGACAGACAAAGAAAGAACAUAAAAAAAGAUGAACAGUUUGGUAACACUUUACUUGAUGCCUAUCUCUAUAACACAUUAUAAAUAUAUGUACAUGUAUAAUACAUUAUAAUCACAUUAUAGCACUGUAUAUAACACUGCAUGUGUUAUGGUUAUUGUUAUAAAGCCUUAUGAUUAUAAAUGAGUGUUUAUAAUGAUAGUUACACAAGUUUAUAAGUAAAUUAUAACACAUCCUAAAUACAUGUAUAAUGCAUAUCUAUGUGGGCAUUGUCAGUGAGUUGUUAACAGUUACAACACAUUAUAAUAUCUGACCUUUUAAGUCAUGAUUAUGUGUUAUGAUUAUUGCUAUAAAGCAUUAUGAUCAUUUAUGAGUGUUUAUAACUAUAUAUAAUGCGUUAUAGAGAGAGGCCUCAAGUAAAGUGUUACCAAACUUUUCUAUCCUACAAAUAAACAGUACAUAGCUGUGAAAAGUGACGGUGUUUUCAAUGUUUGACAGAUAUCCUGUUUGCCUCUAGGCAGCGCUUCUUGCGAACUGUUUUGAUACAUAAUGGGUUAACCAGGAGACGGCUUGAUAGUAACAAGCUGAUAGUCAGCUGUAAUAAAGCCAGAUGUGCCUCUGUUGAUAUUCCAUUCAUGCCUGGUGCUUGUAAACUGGGACAAGGACAGUAGUCCAGUUAAAUGGAGCUAUGACCGUAACUCAACGUCACUGUGCACAUACUGGUUGAGUUGCAGUGGCGUUUUACCAGAGAAAUAAAUAGAAAUUUCUUUCAGAGUCACUGAACCUCUGAUAACAUCUCUUACAAAAUGCUAUCAGCCUCUCAGAGACUUGAGAUGUUGACACAGCUAAUAUGUGACGCAUUAAGGUAGCUUGUAAAGAGUGUGCUAUCUAAUAUGGAUUAAGUGGAGUGGAACACUGAAGUGGAUGUGCAGACAAAGUUUGCACAGUUUGGUUUUGUUGAAUGAACAAACUUCAUGUGUGCUAGUUAUCCUUUUCUUCAUUCCAGAGCCAUGCUGUGAAGACGGUAGCACCAACUAAUGACCCUCAGCGAAUAUGUGCUGAACAAACCAGACCUUUUAAAUCACUGAAAUUAACACCGCAGCUGCCAACACUUGACUCCAACAACCACUUACAUGUCAAUGGCCUUUACCAUAAUCCUGUGCCCAACGAUGAGUGUGUGCAGGCGAGAGUGGGUGGAGAGGAGAAACUUGAUUGCUGCAACCUGUGCGAGGCUGAAAGAGUUGUAUCCAGCAGGCCGGCGGUCUUGCGGCGUCUAUGGUUAGGUCAUCUUCUUGUUGAAAGCUGAAGCUCUCUCACAAUGAACAAUGGAGUCAGGAGAUGGGUGUGGCUGUUUGGGGGAGAUGAGGAGAAGGUAGAAGGGUGUUAAAGUGACUGAAAGGGAGCGACUUAGCGAGGAUGGGGGCAGCAAGGUGAAACCAGGAAUGUGGCGGUGAUGAGGUCAUACCUGUGUGUGCAUGUCUUUGUGUGUGUGUGUGUCCCGAAGACGGUGUUCGCUUCACAGCCCCUUGAGGCCCUGUCAGAAGUGAUGUCAUGGGAAACCAUCACAAAGGCCGUCUCGGCUGUUUGUAAACUCUUUUCAUUUCCUUGUUAGAAUCUCAGGGCCAGAUAAAAGCCUCAGCUCUGACCCCCUGAACAAAAACACAACAUGUCUGAAGGCAGUCUACUGUUACGGUAUCGAGUGAAAAAGUAGCCCAACUUGGUCAAGAUUUAAAUCAUUACUUUUCCUUUCAUGUUCUUCCUCCCUCUCGUCUUUAUUACUUAUCAUUUCUCUUGACCAUAAACACUCUGAACUGAUCCCAGCUGCCGUCCCGCACAGGGCCCCUUUUCUGUGAGGCGCUGAAAACAGAUCAACUUGGAGGAGCGAGGAACUUGAAAGGAGGGAGCUAACUACAGGGGAUAAACACAUUCCUCCGCUACCCGGCUUGCCCGCUACCGUUACUGCUGCUGCUGCCGGCCAGCGGCAGUGCAGGGGAGCUCACAGCGAGGAGCAUUGUUGCCACAAAGCAAGGUGGUGUCGGGGGGGGGCGAAUAUCCCUGAGCUCCCUUAGAUCUCACAGGCAGCAAGCAGCACUUGACCUUUCCAGCACUAAAGGAAUAUGACAGCCGUGAAGCCGACACAGAGAAUAGCGAGAGAGGCAAAGGAGGGGGAGCAAGAGGCUAGAGACAAAAGCCACACAAAGUGCAGGCUGCCACCAAAACAGUUAGUUUGCAAUCAACGUCAGUCAUCCCUCUUGUCGGGACAGUUUGAUUUCCACCUUUCAAAUGAGGCGCUUAUUUUUGGCCUGAUAACAGCGCUGACUAAAUUGAAAUUGGCAGCUCGACAGUCUGCAGAUAAUACUCAACUACGCCGGAGAUUAUGUGAACAGCCGCUUCUUUUACUUUACCCGAGCCCCCACCCUCCUUCUCCUGUCGAAGAUGAGAAAGGAGGAAAUGAGGGAGGGAGAGAGAGAAAAAAGGGCUAAUCUUAGUCACAAUCAGAGGAGGCUGAGAAGGCAAAAAAAAGGGCCUAAAAAAUGAAGGGGAGGAGGAGAAGAGAGAAGAGGGAACGAGGAGGAAAAAAUAAUGUCCCGGUGAUCAGGAGGAAGGCUGGAGGUGGGUGGGGGUUGAGGGGGGGAGCAGGGUGGGGGUGUACAGGAGAGGUGAGGUUAGAGAGAGAGAAAAGGAGGGAAGGAGGGAAUUUCUUUAAUGUUUCUGGCAGCGAACCAGCUGAGGUCUCAAGGUUAUCCUGGCUUUGCAAACUCCCACGGGAAAGGUGGAGUAGUGAGGGCCGAAGGGGGGGAGACGAGGGCUUGAGGUGGAAGAGAGGAGGGAGAGAUGGCUGCCCUCUUUCUCCAGGAGGGAGGCUAAUGCUCUGGGGGGGGGGGGGGGAAUAAUCCUCGGGGCCCUCAUGUCUGAUAAGGUUGGCCUUGGCCCAGGUAGGAGGAGAAAGAAGGGCUCUGGGGCCUCCUAAGGCCUCCAAGCAGACAGCUCUGCCCUCUGCCAGGUUAGAACAGGAGCCAAACUUAGAGCUGUGAUGAAUUAUUACUCAGGUCAUUAGUUAUAAUCAGGUUAGAGUGAUAACAAUGUAAUACCCCAUUGAUUCCCACUGUGGGACUCUUAUGAGCAUUCUUCCUUCCAGGGAGUUCAAAGGUCAGGGGCAGCUAUUGUAGGGAAGGUGCAGGUCCAAGAGGAGUUCAGCGCCUUGCUUAAGGACAUUUAAGUAGAGCAGGACCUUGUUGACUCUUAACACAACAAGAAGCGAUUGUACAAUCUCUGUCCUGUUAGUGAUGUAUUUUUAAAAUGGGUCAUUUAUCUAAAAUUAGGUUUUCCGUCUUCUUCUAUUCUUCUCCACAAGAUUCCAUUGCAUCCUAUCAUUGCAUGUUUAAUUCAGAGUAGUAGUAUUUACUGAUUUUGUAUAUGUGUAAUUAGUGUUUUGUCAAAAAAGUAUUAUCCUGCCUUCUUUUAACGGCCAAAUAUAUCAUUAAACAUGAGAAAAGGUCGUAUCAGUAGCGUACCAUUUGUUGCCUUGUCCAACACUGAACCGCUGCCAGUGUUUUUAGGCAUAAUAAAUUACGAUCACAUUAUAGUCAGUCUUCUUGAUGACAGAUCCAUGUCCUUUUUAAGAUCCUAAAGAGGCAUUAGUAUCAGUUUCUGUUCCAUGAUCAGUCUGUAACACCUCACAGGAGUUUAAAGAUGGAAGUACAGUCAGUGCAGCAGUGUUCGUGACAGCUUGAAGAGUCUUAUUACACUUUAAUCAGGCCUUCAAACUGUUCAACCUGUCUUACUUUAACCUUUCACCUCCAUCCUCCAACAAAAGUUUAAACUCAUCACCUUCAUGCAAAUGUAAAUAAACCCUGAAUUUUUAUCUGAGGCGAUGACGGGGCUGAUCAGCGACUGCAUGGGAAAGAUCUGCAUCAAUACUCGGGGAAUGUUUGUUUACACUGAACUAGGCCCAUUAGAGAUAAUGAUUCACUGCAUCAAGCUGUCAGUUUAGGGAGCUGUUAUUGUGUGUGUGUGUGUGUGUGUGUGUGUGUGUGUGUGUGUGUGUGUGUGUGUGUGUGUGUGUGUGUGUGUGUGUGUGUGUGUGUGUGUGUGUGUGUGUGUGUGUGUGUGCGUGUGUGUGUGUGUGUGUAACUCGCCUCUUCAAAGGCCGGCCGUCUUAUCUACAGUCAACAAACGGCCACCUCUAGAGGAAAUGAGGAGGCCUCAUGCACCUGUAAUUCAAAUGUCCCAAUACUCACUGAGAGUAAACAAGAAACACUCAGUGAUUAUUGUCCCCCUUCAGUUUUAUGAGGACCUGAUGGUUAAUGGAUAGAAAAAUAAAACAGCAGGCUUGUUAAAUGGAUCAAAAAGGAAAGUGCUGUUUUCAGCGUGGUUUUUGUUUGUUUGUGCAGAGAGAUCAAUUAGAAAAUCCUCGUGUAAAGGCAUGAUUUUUUCCAACAUCAGCCUUACUUGGCCAGUGUGUGCCUCUCUGGGAAGUUAAUUGUGAAUAUAUAGUAAUACUUACAUGUUUAACUGUAGCCUUAUAACCCUAAGAGAUCUAAUUAAAUGCAGAUGCAAAAUGUAAAAGUACAUGUAAAUGUAAAUCUGAUGCCACGCUAUCUUUUAUCUCUGACAGUUUGAGCUCUGUAUACAAAUGUGUCUGCAGUCGGAACAUCCAGUUAAUGGUGGUUACACAGCAUUUGCAUGAGUGGCCCUCGCCCCCCCCCACCCGCACCCGCACCAGCAGCAGCAGAAGCAGCCGUAUUCCCAGUUCGCCCCAGCCUCAGGCAUACUAACCAGGAGACCCAGGCCAACUCA